UGUAGUUCUACUGUAGGGACUCUUCUUGAAGGGACGUCAUUGGUAAAAUAUAUUUAUGUAAUGUUACAGUUUUGGAUUUGCGAAAGAAGGGAUAAAUAAAAAAUACAAAUUUCAAAUACCACAUUUUGUAAAUUAUCAUGCACAAUACUUUUCUUGAUACCUAGUCCAUGUUAUCUGAAAUCUGAAUUUAUGCAAAUACAAUGAUUCUAUUAAAUUUAGUAAAUAGAGACAGUUCAGGAAACAAAGUACAAGACCGAAGUGAUGAAAAUGAUGGAAAUUCUUAAAUUCUUCUCUUAACUUUAAAAAUCUCCCUCUUGAAUUGUUCUUCCAACCCUAAACUUCUUGUCUGUUGUCUCUCAGUUAAUACACAGGUCGGAUGCUUUUUAACUGAUGCUACGGAGUGAUAAAGAUCGGUCAAGACAAAGAAUUGUCUCAUCAUCUCGAGUCUCCGGGUCCUGCAGUCUCCUCCACCAUCCUGAGAUCACUGCUGGGAUCUCUAACUGAGCCACAUCUGCUGCCUUGUGGAAUCUGGGAUUUCAGAGUGGGCUUCCCACAGACGGUUUUGGCUGUGCUCACAUUUCUGUUGAAACAUUAGUUUUAGUGUGUUUAAUUUUGUGUGUGGUAUGCUAUCUCACUGUCUUCCUCCCCGUAAGUCUAGUUUGACUGUUAGUGUUCUUCUGUCUCACCAUCACUUAGAGGGUUAGAUUCAGAGAGAGAGUAAGGAAGAGAGGGGGUUUCUGAGUUCCUGUUUGCUGUCCUGUCAUUUAGUAUCAUUCUGACCUGACGGAGACUCAGUGUGACCCAUUGUCCAGCUGUCUCACUGGACCCUGCUAAUACAGUCAGAUCUAUGGACAUUUAUACUGGGCUACAGAGAAACACUCAGGAGGAGAAUGGAUCUCUGAAGAGCAGACCAGAGGAAGAGCCAGGAGGAGAGCCGGCCACCAUAUUGUCAGAAACUUGCAGCGACCAGGCUCGGCUCUGCAGGAUUUUAUAGUUCUGAAAGAUCAGGCUCAACAGUGGUCACAUUGCCACCCUGUGACAUAUCAGAACAACCUGUUUGACAGAGGAAAUGAAAAGGAGGAGUCUAGUGUGUCUGGAGAUGUUCCUCUGUCUCAGGCUGUGCCAGCCUAUCUCAAAGAGAAGGGGGAAAUGAGGAAUAGGGAAAGGAAGGAGGAGUUGAUGAGUUCCCUUUUAUUGUCCGGCCAUUCAGUUUGACUCUGACCUGUCAGAGACUCAGUCGGACUCAGUGUUUAUCAGCCUCACCAGGACCCGGAUCACACAGUCUGAUCAAUGGACACGUAUAAAGAGUACAUUGGGCUACAGAGUCCAACACAGGAUGCGUAUGAAAAUGUGAGCACACCAAGGACAGAGCCAAGAGGAGAGCCAGACAGUGA